rnacentral:rRNA from 1 species
GGAAUCUGCCUAUUAGGUGGGGGACAACAUUCCGAAAGGAAUGCUAAUACCGCAUACGCCCUACGGGGGAAAGCAGGGGAUCUUCGGACCUUGCGCUAAUAGAUGAGCCUAAGUCAGAUUAGCUAGUUGGUGGGGUAAAGGCCUACCAAGGCGACGAUCUGUAGCGGGUCUGAGAGGAUGAUCCGCCACACUGGGACUGAGACACGGCCCAGACUCCUACGGGAGGCAGCAGUGGGGAAUAUUGGACAAUGGGCGAAAGCCUGAUCCAGCCAUGCCGCGUGUGUGAAGAAGGCCUUUUGGUUGUAAAGCACUUUAAGCGAGGAGGAGGCUACUUGGAUUAAUACUCUAGGAUAUGUGGACGUUACUCGCAGAAUAAGCACCGGCUAACUCUGUGCCAGCAGCCGCGGUAAUACAGAGGGUGCGAGCGUUAAUCGGAUUUACUGGGCGUAAAGCGUGCGUAGGCGGCUUCUUUAAGUCGGGAUGUGAAAUCCCUGAGCUUAACUUAGGAAUUGCAUUCGAUACUGGGGAAGCUAGAGUAUGGCAGAGGAUGGUAGAAUUCC